rnacentral:rRNA from 1 species
GGGUAUAUUUUCGAUUGGGAUUCUGUGAGGGCAGGGGUUAGAGAAAGAGGUAGGCGGCGGUCGUGGGAGUGGAGAGGAGCCGGGGCAGGAGGCACAGGUGGAGGGGUGGAGGUGGAGAGGCGGGCUCUAGGUACCGAUGUUACCAACGUGGGGAGACGACGAGUGCUGGACCCGGUUCCUAGACGCUGUGUCUGGAGGGAGGAGGAAGAGGGUCCGCCGCGUCGACGGAGCGGUAGACUUCUAAACCUCGUCGUUCGCGGUCUACUCCUCUCCUGCUGCUGGCACUGGACGCCUUCCAGGCUCGAGCUGGAGAGGCCGCUGCAGUUGCGGGGCGUGUUCCAGGGAGGGACGAAGGGGGGUGGCAGAGGAGAGAGGAAGUAAUGAGGUAAAAGAUAGGGUAGGGGUCAGUUUCAAGAACGUAGCUAAGUCUAGUCGUGCUGGAGAGGCGGAGAAGUCAAGUUACCUUCCACUGGUGACCCUGGGGUGCCAGAUCGGGCUGAUCGACUGCUCGAGCUACCGGUCCAGGAGGCGGGGUUGGUGGUACUAAGGCGUCUCUUGUUAUUCGGACUUGUCUGAUCGUAGCCAAAAACACCUCUGUUUUACUCUUCAAAGAAACGUUGAGACCGUAUAAGUAACUCUAUAACCGAUAUGCUAUCUCCAAAGGAACGUUGCCGCUAGGUACCACUAUUUUGUGUCCUCCAUUCUAACCCGUCACACGAUGAACCACAACGAGUAGUAUUAGUUUGUAGUCCUCCCGGCUGUCGUUCUUGGAUUUAUUGUCGGAGCUAUUAAACAUACUAGACAACUACAUUUUACUUCACAUGAAUACUACACACUAUAUAAAACAGUUAUUUUUAACGUUCAAUAGUAAAACAUCUCCUCAAAUGUUUGACGAUAAUACAUCUAUGUAUCUCGACUUGACACAUUACAACAUGAAUUGUUGAUAAAAGAGAACCUGGUUUUAACGGUAAUCCGAAACACAUUACGUAAUAUGAUUUUUAACC